GUGAAGGCCUGCGUCUGUGCGUGACUCUCUCACUCAGCAUUAAGCCAUCUCGAGUGGGCCACACAGAUGAUGUAGUCUGUCCUGCCACAGUCUUUGAAGUCAGACUCAACUGGGAGAAAUCUUCCGCAGUGAGCUUAAGAAUGGCACUCAGCUGACCCCAUGAAGGAGA
rnacentral:lncRNA from 1 species